GGCAUGGCGCGAUGCUAUACAUGCAAGUCGAGCGAACAGACGAGGAGCUUGCUCCUCUGACGUUAGCGGCGGACGGGUGAGUAACACGUGGAUAACCUACCUAUAAGACUGGGAUAACUUCGGGAAACCGGAGCUAAUACCGGAUAACAUGUUGAACCGCAUGGUUCAACAGUGAAAGACGGUCUUGCUGUCACUUAUAGAUGGAUCCGCGCCGCAUUAGCUAGUUGGUAAGGUAACGGCUUACCAAGGCAACGAUGCGUAGCCGACCUGAGAGGGUGAUCGGCCACACUGGAACUGAGACACGGUCCAGACUCCUACGGGAGGCAGCAGUAGGGAAUCUUCCGCAAUGGGCGAAAGCCUGACGGAGCAACGCCGCGUGAGUGAAGAAGGUCUUCGGAUCGUAAAACUCUGUUAUUAGGGAAGAACAAAUGUGUAAGUAACUAUGCACGUCUUGACGGUACCUAAUCAGAAAGCCACGGCUAACUACGUGCCAGCAGCCGCGGUAAUACGUAGGUGGCAAGCGUUAUCCGGAAUUAUUGGGCGUAAAGCGCGCGUAGGCGGUUUUUUAAGUCUGAUGUGAAAGCCCACGGCUCAACCGUGGAGGGUCAUUGGAAACUGGAAAACUUGAGUGCAGAAGAGGAAAGUGGAAUUCCAUGUGUAGCGGUGAAAUGCGCAGAGAUAUGGAGGAACACCAGUGGCGAAGGCGACUUUCUGGUCUGUAACUGACGCUGAUGUGCGAAAGCGUGGGGAUCAAACAGGAUUAGAUACCCUGGUAGUCCACGCCGUAAACGAUGAGUGCUAAGUGUUAGGGGGGUUUCCGCCCCUUAGUGCUGCAGCUAACGCAUUAAGCACUCCGCCUGGGGGAGUACGGUCGCAAGAUUAAAACUCAAAGGAAUUGACA
rnacentral:rRNA from 1 species